rnacentral:hammerhead_ribozyme from 1 species
AUCUAGCUGACGAGUCCAAAAUAGGACGAAACGCGCGUCAAAAUGGAU